AUAUCUCUCCGUACGGGAAGGAUGAGAAGCUUCGACUAAGGUUCGAUUCGAGCGCAGCGAGAACGCGUUGCCGCAGGCAACGACCCGAA
rnacentral:sRNA from 2 species